rnacentral:RNase_P_RNA from 1 species
GUGCCGUGUUGGGUAGCUGCCCCCUCACUUGUCUGACAAGUUAGUGGGAGGAAAGUCCGAACACUUAUCCGCCUUCGGCGGAUUAAAAAGGUAGCAGGUAACGCCUGCCGUCCGCAAGGAUAGAGAUGCGAACAGAGACGAGUCCUCCGCUUUUUGCGGAGGGGUGAAACGGUCCCGACGUUCCAGUCGGGACUCCGACCUCGCAGGAGCGUCGGAGCAAAAUUCUUACCCGAGUGCAAGUCCGUACCCAGUGCUUCGCACUGGGGGUGACGCUACAGGUUGUUGGCGACAACAAUCGCAGAUAAAUGGCUAUCGCCAAUUUUGUCCGCCAUAGGCGGUUACAAAAUUGAGCGUCCCGACUUUGCGGAGCAAACGUCGGGGCAACUCCGACGCUUCGGUCGGAGUGCUCGAUUUUGCGCCACCUUCGGUGGGCAAAAUCGGCACAGAAUUCGGCUUAUAGACACGGCACCAUA